rnacentral:tRNA from 1 species
GCCGACCUAGCUCAAUGGUAGAGCAACGGUAUCGUAAACCGUAUAUCGGGGUUCGAUUCCCCGGGUCGGCUCAA